rnacentral:lncRNA from 1 species
GGCAACCCAGUCCAGUCCCCUUCCACACUGUGGAAGCUUUGUUCUUUUGCUCUUUGCAAUAAAUCUUGCUACUGCUCACUCUUUGCGUCCACACUGCCUUUAUGAGCUGUAACACUCACCGCGAAGUUCUGCAGCUUCACUCCUGAAGCCAGCCAGACUACGAACCCACUGGGAGGAACGAACAACUCCAGAUGCGCCGCCUUAAGAGCUGUAACACUCACCGCGAAGGUCCCGCAGCUUCACUCCUGAGCCAGCAAGACCACAAACCCACCAGAAGGAAGAAACUCCGAACACAUCUGAACAUCAGAAGGAACAAACUCUGGACACACUGCCUUUAAGAACUGUAAUACUCACCGUGAGGGUCCGCGGCUUCAUUCUUGAAGUCAGUGAGACCAAGAACCCACCAAUUCCAGACACAGUGGGAUCACAGAGAGAGCCAACAGUCCAGGCCAUGACAAGCUGGGACCCAGCUCUGCUUCACAAGAUCAAACUGCAUCACGGAAGCUGCACACGAUGACACCCUGUCUGGAAAGUUUUUGCCAGAGGGCAAAAGACUGCAAGCAGAAUAUCCCUUUGCCAUUUCUCAUUCAGGACUGGCCGUUGUCUGAAAGCAAACCUCAAGGACAGGACUUCUGGACUCCGCAGCCACUCCAGGCUGCUGCUCCAUCGCAUGAAUUCCAGCAGGUGGCGCUGCACCCCGCGCGGACCCGGCUUGCCUCUCUCGGCCCCAGGGAGGUCGGUUGAUGAGCAGUCGGGAAGUGGGUCUGCGCGCACCCCGCUGCAGCUGUGGCAAACGCAAACGAUGA